rnacentral:rRNA from 1 species
UAAGACGAAGGCGUGAUGCGGAGCGAAAUGAAGUAGUGAAGCUGCGGCCCCUUCCUGUCGAGAAAAGCCGCUAUCGUGUAGCAAGGGCCCGUACCGUAAACCGACACAGGUGGAUGAGGAGAGGAUCCUAAGGCCGGCGGGAGAAGUGUUGUUAAGGAACUCGGCAAAAUGACUCCGUAACUUCGGGAGAAGGAGUGCUGCGAGAGCAGCCGCAGAGAAAUGGCCCAAGCAACUGUUUAGCAAAAACACAGGUCUAUGCGAAACCGGAAGGUGAGGUAUAUGGGCUGACGCCUGCCCGGUGCUGGAAGGUUAAGGGGAGAGCUUAGCAUAAGCGAAGGUUUGAACUUAAGCCCCAGUAAACGGCGGCCGUAACUAUAACGGUCCUAAGGUAGCGAAAUUCCUUGUCGGGUAAGUUCCGACCCGCACGAAAGGCGUAAUGAUUUGGGCACUGUCUCAACAACACACCCGGUGAAAUUGAAAUACCAGUGAAGAUGCUGGUUACCCGCGCCAGGACGGAAAGACCCCAUGGAGCUUUACUCCAGCCUGAUACUGGGAUUCGGUAUUGCAUGUACAGGAUAGGUGGGAGGCUAAGAACUUAUGGCGCCAGCCGUAAGGGAGCCGAUGUUGGGAUACCACCCCUGCAGUACUGGGUUUCUAACCUGCGCCCGUGACCCGGGCGGGGGACAAUGUCAGGCGGGGAGUUUGACUGGGGCGGUCGCCUCCGAAAGGGUAUCGGAGGCGCUCAAAGGUCUCCUCAGGAUGGUUGGAAACCAUCCAGAGAGUGCAAAGGCAGAAGGAGGCUUGACUGCGACACCGGCGGGUGGAGCAGGUACGAAAGUAGGACUUAGUGAUCCGGUGGCAUAAAGUGGGAUUGCCAUCGCUCAACGGAUAAAAGCUACCCUGGGAUAACAGGCUUAUCACUCCCAAGAGUCCACAUCGACGGAGUGGUUUGGCACCUCGAUGUCGGCUCAUCGCAUCCUGGAGCUGGAGCAGGUUCCAAGGGUUGGGCUGUUCGCCCAUUAAAGCGGUACGCGAGCUGGGUUCAGAACGUCGUGAGACAGUUCGGUCCCUAUCCGGCGCGGGCGCAGGAUAUCUGAGAGGAGCUGUCCUUAGUACGGGAGGACCGGGAUGGACCGUCCGCUGGUGGACCGGUUGUCAUGCCAAUGGCACGGCCGGGUAGCCAAGACGGGAAGGGAUAAACGCUGAAGGCAUCUAAGCGUGAAGCCCCCCUCAAGAUGAGAUAUCCAUACUCGAAAGAGUGAGAGACCCCUUAGAGACGAUGAGGUAGAUAGGGCAGAGAUGGAAGCACAGCGAUGUGUGGAGUUGACUGUUACUAAUCGGUCGAAAGCUU